GGAAUUGUUAACGGUUCUAACCGUCACGUUUCCCUCUCCUCAGACCUCUCCCUGAGGGAGAGCGAGACGGGGCUUUCCUGGAGGCUGAGGCUGGUCCCGGUCUCGCCAGAAGAGGCAGCCCGCGUACAGCGCCUAGCUCUGCCACUCACCCCACCAUCUGAGGCCUGCCUGGCCCCACAAUGCUCCCCCAAAGUUACAGCCCCUUGGUUGCUAAAUUUUUGUUUAUGCUGAGAUCUUGUAUACUGAACUCCUGACAUCACCAAAGCAAGAGUCUGUCCACGUGGCAAAAGGUUGCUGGUCAAUAUCACUGGUCAUAGGUUUCUAAAGAGAGGGCCUGCAGGUUAAGUGGUUGGUAUACAGAGGGUAAUAUACCUGGGUCCUGCUCUAAGAAUCACAAGAUGACUGACACAGGAACCGACAAGAGGCCAAACACCUGAAUUGGGUGCAUUCAGGGUCCAGAAAGGCAUAGAGAUGCAGGGACCACAUCUGCAUGAGUUCUAUGCAGAGGACACAAUGUUUGCAGAAUGGGAAUGUUUUACUUUUUUAUUUGCACAUAUUUUCCACACCAAAAUAAA